rnacentral:rRNA from 1 species
AUGCUUGGGAAUAUGCCUUGAGGUGGGGGACAACAGUUGGAAACGACUGCUAAUACCGCAUAAUGUCUACGGACCAAAGCGGGGGACUCUUACGGAGCCUUCGUGCCUUUAGAUUAGCCCAAGUGAGAUUAGCUAGUAGGUGAGGUAAUGGCUCACCUAGGCGACGAUCUCUAGCUGGUUUGAGAGGAUGAUCAGUCCACACUGGGACUGAGACACGGUCCCAGACUCCUACGGGAGGCAGCAGUGGGGAAUAUUGCACAAUGGGGGAAACCCUGAUGCAGCCAUGCCGCGUGUGUGAAG